GUCCAGGAUAGCCUAGUGGACAUGGCAUCUGCCCGGUAAGCGGAAGGUCGUGGGUUCGAUUCCCGCCCCUGGACA